GUCUUUUUGAAGCCAAUAAUAAGUCUGACCUGCCCUAUGUUAAUAAAUGGCCGCGGUAUUUUGACCGUGCGAAGGUAGCAUAAUCAUUAGUCUGUUAAAUGUAGUCUGGAAUGAAGGGUUUGACGGGGAGUAGCUUUCUUAUUUUUAUUCUUGAAUUUGAAUCAUUAGUAAAAAUGCUAAUAUUUUUUAGGGGGACGAGAAGACCCUAUAGAGCUUUAUAAUAUAAUGUUUUUUGUGGUGUUUAGCAGAUUUAUUUUGUUGGGGCGACAACAGGUAAAAACAUCUUAUAUUUCUUUUUGAUAGGUUAUAUGAUCCAUUAUUAGUGAUAAAAGACUAAGUUACCUUAGGGAUAACAGCGUAAUUUUGUUAUAGAGUUCAUAUCGAUAACAAAGAUUGCGACCUCGAUGUUGGAUUAGAAUUCCUUUAUGGCGCAGGAGUUUUUAAAGGUAGUCUGUUCGACUAUUUAAUUUCUACAUGAUCU
rnacentral:rRNA from 1 species